rnacentral:rRNA from 1 species
UACAGAGGUCUCAAGCGUUGUUCGGAUUCAUUGGGCGUAAAGGGUGCGUAGGCGGCGCGGUAAGUCGGGUGUGAAAUCUCGGAGCUUAACUCCGAAACUGCAUUCGAUACUGCCGUGCUUGAGGACUGGAGAGGAGACUGGAAUUUACGGUGUAGCGGUGAAAUGCGCAGAUAUCGGGAAGAACACCCGUGGCGAAGGCGGUUCUCUGGGACGGUACUGACGCUGAGACGCGAAAGCGUGGGGAGCGAACAGG